CCUACGGGAUGCAGCAGUGGGGGAUAUUGCACAAUGGGGGGAACCCUGAUGCAGCGACGCCGCGUGGGUGAAGAAGCGCCUCGGCGCGUAAAGCCCUGUCAGCAGGGAAGAAAAUGACGGUACCUGAAGAAGAAGCCCCGGCUAACUACGUGCCAGCAGCCGCGGUAAUACGUAGGGGGCAAGCGUUAUCCGGCUUUACUGGGUGUAAAGGGGGCGCAGACGGCGAUGCAAGCCAGGAGUGAAAGCCCGGGGGCCAACCCCGGGACUGCUCUUGGAACUGCGUGGCUGGAGUGCAGGAGGGGCAGGCGGAAUUCCUGGUGUAGCGGUGAAAUGCGUAGAUAUCAGGAGGAACACCGGUGGCGAAGGCGGCCUGCUGGACUGCAACUGACGUUGAGGCCCGAAAGCGUGGGGAGCAAACAGGAUUAGAUACCCCGGUAGUC
rnacentral:rRNA from 1 species